UAGCUCAGUCAGUAGAGCGUAGCGCUAACAAUGUUAAGGUCGCAGAUUCGAUUCCUGU
rfam:Apaloderma vittatum contig22477, whole genome shotgun sequence.